CAGUCGAACGGAGAAUUUUAUUUCGGUAGAAUUCUUAGUGGCGAACGGGUGAGCAACUGCGUAGGCAACCUGCCCUUUAGACGGGGACAACAUUCCGAAAGGAGUGCUAAUACCGGAUGUGAUCAUCGUGCCGCAUGGCAGGAUGAAGAAAGAUGGCCUCUACAAGUAAGCUAUCGCUAAAGGAUGGGCCUGCGUCUGAUUAGCUAGUUGGUAGUGUAACGGACUACCAAGGCGAUGAUCAGUAGCCGGUCUGAGAGGAUGAACGGCCACAUUGGGACUGAGACACGGCCCAAACUCCUACGGGAGGCAGCAGUGGGGAAUCUUCCGCAAUGGACGAAAGUCUGACGGAGCAACGCCGCGUGAGUGAUGAAGGAUUUCGGUCUGUAAAGCUCUGUUGUUUAUGACGAACGUGCAGUGUGUGAACAAUGCAUUGCAAUGACGGUAGUAAACGAGGAAACCACGGCUAACUACGUGCCAGCAGCCGCGGUAAUACGUAGGUGGCGAGCGUUGUCCGGAAUUAUUGGGCGUAAAGAGCAUGUAGGCGGCUUAAUAAGUCGAGCGUGAAAAUGCGGGGCUCAACCCCGUAUGGCGCUGGAAACUGUUAGGCUUGAGUGCAGGAGAGGAAAGGGGAAUUCCCAGUGUAGCGGUGAAAUGCGUAGAUAUUGGGAGGAACACCAGUGGCGAAGGCGCCUUUCUGGACUGUGUCUGACGCUGAGAUGCGAAAGCCAGGGUAGCGAACGGGAUUAGAUACCCCGGUAGUCCUGGCCGUAAACGAUGGGUACUAGGUGUAGGAGGUAUCGACCCCUUCUGUGC
rnacentral:rRNA from 1 species